UACGUAGGGUGCAAGCGUUAAUCGGAAUUACUGGGCGUAAAGCGUGCGCAGGCGGUUUUGUAAGUCAGAUGUGAAAUCCCCGGGCUUAACCUGGGAACUGCGUUUGAAACUACAAGGCUAGAGUGUGGCAGAGGGGGGUGGAAUUCCACGUGUAGCAGUGAAAUGCGUAGAGAUGUGGAGGAACACCGAUGGCGAAGGCAGCCCCCUGGGUUAACACUGACGCUCAGGCACGAAAGCGUGGGGAGUAAACAGG
rnacentral:rRNA from 1 species